AAACUGAAGAGUUUGAUCAUGGCUCAGAUUGAACGCUGGCGGCAGGCCUAACACAUGCAAGUCGAGCGGAAACGAUGGAAGCUUGCUUCCAGGCGUCGAGCGGCGGACGGGUGAGUAAUGCAUAGGAAUCUGCCCGAUAGUGGGGGAUAACCUGGGGAAACCCAGGCUAAUACCGCAUACGUCCUACGGGAGAAAGCAGGGGAUCUUCGGACCUUGCGCUAUCGGAUGAGCCUAUGUCGGAUUAGCUAGUUGGUGAGGUAAUGGCUCACCAAGGCUGCGAUCCGUAGCUGGUCUGAGAGGAUGAUCAGCCACAUCGGGACUGAGACACGGCCCGAACUCCUACGGGAGGCAGCAGUGGGGAAUAUUGGACAAUGGGCGAAAGCCUGAUCCAGCCAUGCCGCGUGUGUGAAGAAGGCUUUCGGGUUGUAAAGCACUUUCAGUGGGGAAGAAAUCCUCGGGGCCAAUACCCUCGAGGGAGGACAUCACCCACAGAAGAAGCACCGGCUAACUCCGUGCCAGCAGCCGCGGUAAUACGGAGGGUGCGAGCGUUAAUCGGAAUUACUGGGCGUAAAGCGCGCGUAGGCGGCGUGAUAAGCCGGUUGUGAAAGCCCCGGGCUCAACCUGGGAACGGCAUCCGGAACUGUCAGGCUAGAGUGCAGGAGAGGAAGGUAGAAUUCCCGGUGUAGCGGUGAAAUGCGUAGAGAUCGGGAGGAAUACCAGUGGCGAAGGCGGCCUUCUGGACUGACACUGACGCUGAGGUGCGAAAGCGUGGGUAGCAAACAGGAUUAGAUACCCUGGUAGUCCACGCCGUAAACGAUGUCGACUAGCCGUUGGGGUCCUUGUGACCUUUGUGGCGCAGUUAACGCGAUAAGUCGACCGCCUGGGGAGUACGGCCGCAAGGUUAAAACUCAAAUGAAUUGACGGGGGCCCGCACAAGCGGUGGAGCAUGUGGUUUAAUUCGAUGCAACGCGAAGAACCUUACCUACUCUUGACAUCGUGCGAACUUUCCAGAGAUGGAUUGGUGCCUUCGGGAACGCACAGACAGGUGCUGCAUGGCCGUCGUCAGCUCGUGUUGUGAAAUGUUGGGUUAAGUCCCGUAACGAGCGCAACCCUUGUCCCUAUUUGCCAGCGAUUCGGUCGGGAACUCUAGGGAGACUGCCGGUGACAAACCGGAGGAAGGUGGGGACGACGUCAGGUCAUCAUGGCCCUUACGAGUAGGGCUACACACGUGCUACAAUGGCCGGUACAAAGGGUUGCGAAGCCGCGAGGUGGAGCUAAUCCCGAAAAGCCGGUCUCAGUCCGGAUCGGAGUCUGCAACUCGACUCCGUGAAGUCGGAAUCGCUAGUAAUCGUGAAUCAGAAUGUCACGGUGAAUACGUUCCCGGGCCUUGUACACACCGCCCGUCACACCAUGGGAGUGGACUGCACCAGAAGUGGUUAGCCUAACUUCGGAGGGCGAUCACCACGGUGUGGUUCAUGACUGGGGUGAAGUCGUAACAAGGUAGCCGUAGGGGAACCUGCGGCUGGAUCACCUCCUUA
rnacentral:rRNA from 1 species